UCAAAGGCUCUUUUAAGAGCCAUCUAUACUUACUAGAGAUCUGUGG
rfam:Otolemur garnettii contig059033, whole genome shotgun sequence.